rnacentral:rRNA from 1 species
GACGAACGCUGGCGGCGUGCCUAAUACAUGCAAGUAGAACGCUGAAGAGAGGAGCUUGCUCUUCUUGGAUGAGUUGCGAACGGGUGAGUAACGCGUAGGUAACCUGCCUUGUAGCGGGGGAUAACUAUUGGAAACGAUAGCUAAUACCGCAUAACAAUGGAUGACACAUGUCAUUUAUUUGAAAGGGGCAAUUGCUCCACUACAAGAUGGACCUGCGUUGUAUUAGCUAGUAGGUGAGGUAAUGGCUCACCUAGGCGACGAUACAUAGCCGACCUGAGAGGGUGAUCGGCCACACUGGGACUGAGACACGGCCCAGACUCCUACGGGAGGCAGCAGUAGGGAAUCGUCGGCAAUGGGGGCAACCCUGACCGAGAAACGCCGCGUGAGUGAAGAAGGUUUUCGGAUCGUAAAGCUCUGUUGUAAGCCAAGAACGGGUGUGAGAGUGGAAAGUUCACACUGUGACGGUAGCUUACCAGAAAGGGACGGCUAACUACGUG